rnacentral:rRNA from 1 species
UACGUAGGUGACCAGCGUUUGUCCGGAUUUACUGGGGCGUAAAGAGCGCGCAGGCGGUCGUUCAAGUCGAGUGUGAAAGCCCCCGGCUCAACUGGGGAGGGUCAUUCGAUACUGAUCGACUCGAAGGCAGGAGAGGGUAGUGGAAUUCCCGGUGUAGUGGUGAAAUGCGUAGAUAUCGGGAGGAACACCAGUGGCGAAGGCGACUACCUGGCCUGUUCUUGACGCUGAGGCGCGAAAGCUAGGGGAGCAAACGGG